CUGCAUAAUGCAGUCGAGCGACUGAUUAGAAGCUUGCUUCUAUGACGUUAGCGGCGGACGGGUGAGUAACACGUGGGCAACCUGCCUGUAAGACUGGGAUAACUUCGGGAAACCGAAGCUAAUACCGGAUAUGAUCUUCUCCUUCAUGGGAGAUGAUUGAAAGAUGGUUUCGGCUAUCACUUACAGAUGGGCCCGCGGUGCAUUAGCUAGUUGGUGAGGUAACGGCUCACCAAGGCAACGAUGCAUAGCCGACCUGAGAGGGGGAUCUGACACACUGGGACUGAGACACGGCCCAGACUCCUACGGGAGGCAGCAGUAGGGAAUCUUCCGCAAUGGACGAAAGUCUGACGGAGCAACGCCGCGUGAGUGAUGAGGGCUUUCGCCUCGUAUCUCUCUGUUGUUACGGAAGAACACGUACGAGAGUAACUGCUCGUACCUUGACGGUACCUAACCAGAAAGCCACGGCUAACUACGUGCCAGCAGCCGCGGUAAUACGUAGGUGGCAAGCGUUAUCCGGAAUUAUUGGGCGUAAAGCGCGCGCAGGCGGUUUCUUAAGUCUGAUGUGAAAGCCCACGGCUCAACCGUGGAGGGUCAUUGGAAACUGGGGAACUUGAGUGCAGAAGAGAAAAGCGGAAUUCCACGUGUAGCGGUGAAAUGCGUAGAGAUGUAGAAGAACAUCAGUUGGCGCGUAGUAAGCUGGCAUUUUUGGGAAAUCUUCAGUGUCCCUGAAACGGACGUCAUACAACGCAGA
rnacentral:rRNA from 2 species